rnacentral:rRNA from 1 species
CUUCCGUAGGGUGACCUGCGGAAGGAUCAUUACCGAGUGUAGGGUUCCUAGCGAGCCCAACCUCCCACCCGUGUUUACUGUACCUUAGUUGCUUCGGCGGGCCCGCCAUUCAUGGCCGCCGGGGGCUCUCAGCCCCGGGCCCGCGCCCGCCGGAGACACCACGAACUCUGUCUGAUCUAGUGAAGUCUGAGUUGAUUGUAUCGCAAUCAGUUAAAACUUUCAACAAUGGAUCUCUUGGUUCCGGCAUCGAUGAAGAACGCAGCGAAAUGCGAUAACUAGUGUGAAUUGCAGAAUUCCGUGAAUCAUCGAGUCUUUGAACGCACAUUGCGCCCCCUGGUAUUCCGGGGGGCAUGCCUGUCCGAGCGUCAUUGCUGCCCAUCAAGCACGGCUUGUGUGUUGGGUCGUCGUCCCCUCUCCGGGGGGGACGGGCCCCAAAGGCAGCGGCGGCACCGCGUCCGAUCCUCGAGCGUAUGGGGCUUUGUCACCCGCUCUGUAGGCCCGGCCGGCGCUUGCCGAACGCAAAUCAAUCUUUUUCCAGGUUGACCUCGGAUCAGGUAGGGAUACCCGCUGAACUUAAGCAUAUCAAUAAGCGGAGGAA